rnacentral:rRNA from 1 species
GAUGAACGCUGGCGGCGUGCCUAAUACAUGCAAGUCGAGCGAACAGACGAGGAGCUUGCUCCUCUGACGUUAGCGGCGGACGGGUGAGUAACACGUGGAUACCCUACCUAUAAGACUGGGAUAACUUCGGGAAACCGGAGCUAAUACCGGAGAAUAUAUUGAACCGCAUGGUUCAAUAGUGAAAGACGGUUUUGCUGUCACUUAUAGGUGGAUCCGCGCCGCAUUAGCUAGUUGGUAAGGUAACGGCUUACCAAGGCAACGAUGCGUAGCCGACCUGAGAGGGUGAUCGGCCACACUGGAACGGAGACACGGUCCAGACUCCUACGGGAGGCAGCAGUAGGGAAUCUUCCGCAAUGGGCGAAAGCCUGACGGAGCAACGCCGCGUGAGUGAUGAAGGUCUUCGGAUCGUAAAACUCUGUUAUUAGGGAAGAACAAAUGUGUAAGUAACUAUGCACUUCUUGACGGUACCUAAUCAGAAAGCCACGGCUAACUACGUG